rnacentral:misc_RNA from 1 species
GGGUAUUCUCUUUUUCUCUCUCUAAAUGUGUUUCUCUAUCUAGAUAUUCUGCUCUGCAACUUCUUCGCUCCGAACAGAUUUGUAAAACGGAGAAGAGGAGCGAAGAAGGGGUAAGUGGGUGGUUUUGGAGCCGGGGGGGGAGGGGUAGGGGUAUGUGAAUGUGAUAUUAUAUAAGCUGUUGAGCAGUUUCGUUGAGUUGGGUGGCAUUCGCG